AUGCCCUAGUAACGGCGAGUGAAGCGGCAACAGCUCAAAUUUGAAAUCUGGCGUCUUUGGCGUCCGAGUUGUAAUUUGCAGAGGGCGCUUUGGCAUUGGCAGCGGUCCAAGUUCCUUGGAACAGGACGUCACAGAGGGUGAGAAUCCCGUACGUGGUCGCUAGCCUUUACCGUGUAAAGCCCCUUCGACGAGUCGAGUUGUUUGGGAAUGCAGCUCUAAAUGGGAGGUAAAUUUCUUCUAAAGCUAAAUACUGGCCAGAGACCGAUAGCGCACAAGUAGAGUGAUCGAAAGAUGAAAAGCACUUUGGAAAGAGAGUUAAAAAGCACGUGAAAUUGUUGAAAGGGAAGCGCUUGCAGCCAGACUUGCCUGUAGUUGCUCAUCUAGGUUUCUACCUAGUGCACUCUUCUAUAGGCAGGCCAGCAUCAGUUUGGGCGGUUGGAUAAAGGUCUCUGUCAUGUACCUCUCUUCGGGGAGAACUUAUAGGGGAGACGACAUGCAACCAGCCUGGACUGAGGUCCGCGCAUCUGCUAGGAUGCUGGCGUAAUGGCUGUAAGCGGCCCGUCUUGAAACACGGACCAAGGAGUCUAACAUCUAUGCGAGUGUUUGGGUGUCAAGCCCGAGCGCGUAAUGAAAGUGAACGGAGGUGGGAACCUUUCGGGGUGCACCAUCGACCGAUCCUGAUGUCUUCGGAUGGAUUUGAGUAAGAGCAUAGCUGUUGGGACCCGAAAGAUGGUGAACUAUGCUUGAAUAGGGUGAAGCCAGAGGAAACUCGGUGGAGGCUCGCAGCGGUUCUGACGUGCAAAUC
rnacentral:rRNA from 2 species